CUGCCGCCAGCCUGGGAGCCCUGAGAGCCAGCAGGCUUCCAAGCGCCGGUAGUUUCUCCCUUACAAACUCUCAACUUUCUUCCGUUGUGUGAAAAUUGCCUCUCCCGCCCCAAAGCUUUGCCUCCUCACCAUGAACGGGGUAAGACGUGACCUUUUGAGGUGACUAUAACUGAAGAUUGCUUUACAGAAGCCAAAAAAGAAAGAAAUAAAAGGUUUGUUGGAAAUAUACAAUUUAAAAAGAUGUUUCAAGUGAAUAUAGUGGUUAGUGUUUCUUCCUGAUGAAUAAGCCUUAAAUGAGGAGAAGACCUUGCCAUCCAGCAAUGGACAAAAAAAUCAGCAUCAUCUUUCACACUGCAGGAAGCAUGUAGACUUCAGAUGCCAGGAGCUUCUCAGUAAAUACCACGCCUCAAAUUUGAAACCUGGGAAUUAUUAACAGUCAGUAUAGAUGCACAGAAAUAUGCCUACAAAGGUACUAUGGGAAUAACUGAUUAUAUACAUAAAAGUCGUCAGGCAAAUUCAGAAAACCAGAUGAAGCCAUUUUGAAAAUUUGGAUUCUAUGG
rnacentral:sRNA from 1 species